rnacentral:rRNA from 1 species
GACGAACGCUGGCGGCGUGCUUAACACAUGCAAGUCGAACGGAAAGGCCCUGCUUUUGUGGGGUGCUCGAGUGGAGAACGGGUGAGUAACACGUGAGUAACCUGCCCUUGACUUUGGGAUAACUUCAGGAAACUGGGGCUAAUACCGGAUAGGAGCUCCUGCUGCAUGGUGGGGGUUGGAAAGUUUCGGCGGUUGGGGAUGGACUCGCGGCUUAUCAGCUUGUUGGUGGGGUAGUGGCUUACCAAGGCUCUGACGGGUAGCCGGCCUGAGAGGGUGACCGGCCACACUGGGACUGAGAUACGGCCCAGACUCCUACGGGAGGCAGCAGUGGGGAAUAUUGCACAAUGGGCGGAAGCCUGAUGCAGCAACGCCGCGUGCGGGAUGACGGCCUUCGGGUUGUAAACCGCUUUCGCCUGUGACGAAGCGUGAGUGACGGUAAUGGGUAAAGAAGCACCGGCUAACUACGUG